ensembl:lncRNA novel transcript, antisense to TRPC4
GGCCCGGGAGGGGGAGGUAACCGCCAGGGGAGGAGAACCUCUCCCACCCCCGCCUGCACAGAUCCCUCUGGAUAAAGUUAAGAGUUCCCACGGCUGACAGCGGAUGAGCCCAGAGAAAGGCACCCCGCCCUCCGUCCCUGGUGGCUGCCGGGCUCGGGGUCCGCACAGACCGCGCUGGAAAGGGAUAGUCCGGGAAGAUGCGCGUCCCACGCACCACACUGCUUGGAGGUGGAGGAGACCCGCGCGCUGGCAGGAGCUGACGCUGCGUCCCCAGCUUGUCCCCCUCGAAUAGCCUCCACCUACCGGGGCCAACUGCUUGAGGUCAGCCAGUGGGCAGGGGAGCUCACCACCAGCCAGCCGUCAUCCAGCCAAGUCGGUGGCGAGAAUCCACCCUGUGGUUCUGGAUGCAAGCCAGACACACCUCCAGGCUUAGGGCGGUCUCUGCAGGCGUGUUGGACUUCAGUGCGCUCCGACACCCAGCUUUUGAAUGCCCUGCUCCCAGCCCGGUAAACAAGCACCCAUGAGGCCCGCCGCCCGACCGGAAAAAAGUAGUCCCCUGCAACUCUCAAAGCUUCUCCCACUCCCGCUUCUCUGGGCGACUGGCACCCCCUCUCCUGUCCUCAAGGUGUCAGACUUCCCUUGCAAGAGCUGGAGGAUGCGGCUUGCCACUAGUGUCAACAAUCAAAACAGUCGCAAUGAAUAAAUGAUGAGCCACAGCGUUCCAACCACCCUCAUCCAGCUUGGUCUUUCCAAAAGGCAUAGGAAAUCAGCAAGUUUCCACCAAAUAUACCAAAACCCUAAGACGCGAGCCAGCCCAAGGGUGCAAGGUUCUGCGGCUGCAGGUGCCUAUGAAACUGCAAUAAAUACAUAACAGAAGAGAACACCAAGGAGAGCACUAUAUAUGUCAACCAUCUGAGCAGGCUGUAUUCCCACGGAAAGAAGAAUUUGUAUUGAUCACUGAGCCUCCUUUUCAACAGUUUCAUGUGAUUAUUGAUUGCUGGUCUCAGGUCUCCUACAAAAUGAUUAGCAAUUACAGGAAAAUUAUUUGAAAUCUGUUUAAACAAUCUGGUGAAUUGCAUAUACUACAGUCAUUAGCAAUCCAAAGAGUUUAUUUUUAACAAUUUAAACAUAUGAGUUUGGCAGCAUUCUACGAACCUGCACUCCACAUAAAAUGCAAUUCAUUGAAGUCAAAGAAAUUUACAAUAAAAUGUUAUAUGCUAUCUAGAAUUUAUUUUAGUACCUUAUUAAACAGAACAAGAAAGCACUCAUGUUUCCAAAUUAGCAAGAGACAAGUGACCCAAGAAAUGAUAGCAGUAAAACAAUUCUCUGUAAUGUCUAUUUAUAGCUAAAGUAUAUUGUAGAAUUGGGAUCACAAUUGUUUUAGGAAUACAAUUUUCACUUUACUCCUAAAGGUUAUUGUUCUGUUUAGGAGCUGACAUGUAACAUGUAUGAAACACUGUUUCAAAGCUGUUAUACCUCAGACAUAGAGACAAAGUCACAGAGACAAGUAUUUGGAGAAUUUAUUCAUGCACAUGUGUCACCAUCAGCAUUUUUAUGUGCCAGUAAUGCAUCUGUGUAUGAUGCCAUCAUGAAGUAUAUGAUAUUGGCCUUUCUGAUGCUAAGAUAAAUUAAGAAAUAGGUUAUCAUUGUCUUUGAUGCCCAUGUGACCUGUCUUCCACCUUUGUGACCAGGCCUUUACCUCCUACUGCACAAGGGCUCACCCAAACUCACUGAAGGGGCUCCACCUCAGCUUAACUUUUGGAUUUGGCUCCUGCUCCAGGUUUUAGAAUCCUCUGUUCUGUCAUCAAUGUAAUGAGGCUUCAAUCUAACCUACAUGGCCAUGCUAUACACACAGCUUUUACCUGCCUAUUUUUUAAAAAAAUUAACAUUUUCUAAGUUAUCAAAAUGUUAUUCAAAAAUGUUAAUUUUAAUGAAUCACUACUUAUUUCUAUGAAAUACUUAAGUAUUUUUCAGGUCUUGAAAGUGUAAUUGUUUUUAUACUAUUAUUCCCUACUGGUAUACUUUUGUUGAAAGCCGUUACACAAGCAUUUUUGUCUGUAUCUCUAAUUAUGUCCUCAGAAUAGAUUCCUAGUAAUACAGCCCUGUGUCAUGAUGCAGAAAUAUUUUAAAGUACAUGCUGUAUGUUAUAAGGGAGCUUGUUGCAUUGAACCCUCAUCAAUACGGGGCAUCCUUAAGGUCCUUUUUCUUCUUUUCUUUUUUUAUUUUGACUGAUUUCCUACUUGAAAGAAAAUGGUAUCUCAAUGAGUUGUGUUAACUAGAAACGGUGACUUUUAUAUUUUGUGUACUUUGCUACUUGUUUCUUUUUGUGAGUUUACAUACUUUUUCAAUACUUACGGGGUUUUGUUGCUAUUCCCCCAUUUGGUUUAUAAUAACUCUUAAUAUUUGAACAUUAGUACAUUCCCAUAUUUAUGGAAGAUAUUUCUCAGUUUUUAAUUCUUUGUUAAAUUUGGAGGUAAUGUUAUUUAUUUUAAAGAUGUUUCAUUCUUACAAACAUUAAACUAUCAAAUUUUCCCUGAUAAUUUAUUUUAGUGCUUUAAUGCUCCUAAUAUCUUUUUCCUCUCAUAUUCACUUAUUUUUUCAAGCUUUUAAAAAAUGAUUUCAUGUUUAAGGCAAUUGCUUAGUCAUUAACUUCAUAGACCCUGGAAUCAUGUUAUCUAAAUUUAAAAUCCCAGUCUCAACAUUCAUUCAACGAAUAUUUACAGAGUCUAUGUUUAAAUAUUUUAUGGAGUGCAAAGCAUUGUACUAGGUGCUUCCCAUACAUCUGUGAGCAAAACAGAUAAGAUACUGCCGUUGCUGAACUGAUAUUUUGAAGAGGACAGACAAAAAUAAUAAAUAUAUUAAAUAAGUUAAUUACAUACUAUAUUAGAAGGCAAUUAAAAGAACAGGGUAUGGGGGCUGGGCACGGUGGCUCAAGCCUGUAAUCCAGCACUUUGGGAGGCCUAGGUGGGUGGAUCACGAGGUCAGGAAUCGAGAACAUCCUGGCUAACACCGUGAAACCCUGUCUCUACUAAAAAUACAGAAAAAUUAGCCGGGCGUGGUGGCGGGCGCCUGUAAUCCCAGC